CUGCAGUCUGCAACUCGACUGCACGAAGUCGGAAUUGCUAGUAAUCGCGGAUCAGCAUGCCGCGGUGAAUACGUUCCCGGGCCUUGUACACACCGCCCGUCACACCAUGAGAGUCGGUAACACCCGAAGUCGGUGGUCUAACCGCAAGGAGGACGCCGCCGAAGGUGGGAUUGAUGACUGGGGUGAAGUCGUAACAAGGUAAC
rnacentral:rRNA from 1 species